rnacentral:lncRNA from 1 species
CCUCUCAGCUCAUAUCAUCAUUUGAGUCCUCUUGAUCUCCAUCCUCAGCAUCCUCGAAAUCAUCCUCCUCAUCAUCCUCGCCCGUGUCUAGAGCUUCAACUGCCCCAACUCCACUCCCCUGUGCCUGCUCCGGAGGCCAUGCUAUAGUGUUAUGGAACUCAUCCAUAGUCACAUGUGCACUGGUGGUUGAUCAUACAAUCCUACUAUCAUCUCGGCAGUAGCUACCUGCCCUCUACGGAGAGACUCCAGCCUAGCCUCCAUCAUGGUCAUAUACAUGUCCCUCAUCUGAAACGGCUCUGCAUGCUGUGCAGGUUCAUCCUCCUGCUGGGCUGCUCCUCUCCUAGGACGUCUCCUAUGCGCUGCUCCAGUUGCCUCGUCUCCUCCACAGAAUUGUCGAUAAUAGGAGGCAUCUAUGACUUUUCUGGGCCUCUUAAACGGUGGAACAAAAGUUUCCACCCAGCCUGCUGGCACAAAUAGGUGAUCAGGGACAGAUGCCCUAAGGGUGUCCUGCUACUUAUAGUAGUAGCGCAACUCUGAAUCUCGUUGGCGAUGACCUCACCAACAUUCACGUCCAUCUUCCUCAACAUACAAUAGAUGAACUUAAUCAUGUGCGUGGUGAUAUCAGAAACGUGGGAGCACGACUGAGCAUUGGCAUGAGUAAAUGUCAUCCAAUACUUCGCCAAGGGUGUCAGAUCUGCCCUCUUUAUGGUGAUGGGCACUCCAUUCAGGUUUCUCUGAAAGUGUCCUCCAGGGACACACAUAACCCUCUCAAUCUCUCCAUACUCUCUGAACUCCCCUAAGUUCAGCGCAAACUAGCACUGCUCACCUGGACACUCAGUGCCUAAGAAGUUGUUGAUAGUAUCGGGAUCAUAUCGGAUGGCCUGCCCCCUAACAUAACUAGUGUGUCUCCCCAUCGACACUUCUCCUCUAGGUAAGGCAUUUUUAUAGAUCUCCUUCACAAGUUCAAUACUAGUUGGCGCAUGAUAUGUAGCUAGCUUUUCCCAAUUUCUUCUCUCAAUCUCCAACCCAAACUCAAGAGCCAAGUCUGGAAUAAAAAUAGCCUUACUCUCCAUCAAUAGUGUUCUCUCUUGAACAAUCACAUAAUGCUCCUCAUGUUUCCUGGAAAGGAACCUAUAUAUGGGAAUAAAAUCUUCUCGGCC